rnacentral:rRNA from 1 species
UGGUGUGAUAACAGCGCACCAAGGCAUCGAUGGGUAGCCGAGCUGAGAGGUUGAUCGGCCACACUGGGACUGAGACACGGCCCAGACACCUACGGGUGGCAGCAGUAGGGAAUCUUGGACAAUGGGCGAAAGCCUGAUCCAGCCAUGCCGCGUGAGUGAUGAAGGCCUUCGGGUUGUAAAGCUCUUUUCUGAGGGAAGAAAUGCAGAGUGAGGAAAUGCGCUCUGUUUGACGGUACCUCAGGAAUAAGGAACGGCUAACUCCGUGCCAGCAGCCGCGGUAAUACGGAGGUUCCAAGCGUUGUUCGGAAUUACUGGGCGUAAAGGGGGCGCAGGCGGACAGGUCAGUGGAAAGUGGAAGCCCGGGGCUCAACCUCGGAAGGCCUUUCCAUACUGCCUGUCUUGAGUUCGUGAGAGGAGAGUGGAAUUCAGGGUGUAGCGGUGAAAUGCUUAGAUAUCCUGAGGAACACCAGUGGCGAAAGCGACUCUCUGGCACGAAACUGACGCUGAGGCCCGAAAGCGUGGGUAGCGAACGGGAUUAGAU